rnacentral:rRNA from 1 species
GGCGGCAUGCCUUACACAUGCAAGUCGAACGGCAGCACGGGGGUAACCCUGGUGGCGAGUGGCGAACGGGUGAGUAAUACAUCGGAACGUGUCCUGUAGUGGGGGAUAGCCCGGCGAAAGCCGGAUUAAUACCGCAUACGAUCUACGGAAGAAAGCGGGGGAUCCUUCGGGACCUCGCGCUAUAGGGGCGGCCGAUGGCAGAUAGCUAGUUGGUGGGGUAAAGGCCUACCAAGGCGACGAUCUGUAGCUGGUCUGAGAGGACGACCAGCCACACUGGGACUGAGACACGGCCCAGACUCCUACGGGAGGCAGCAGUGGGGAAUUUUGGACAAUGGGGGAAACCCUGAUCCAGCAAUGCCGCGUGUGUGAAGAAGGCCUUCGGGUUGUAAAGCACUUUUGUCCGGAAAGAAAACUUCUGCCCUAAUACGGUGGGAGGAUGACGGUACCGGAAGAAUAAGCACCGGCUAACUACGUGCCAGCAGCCGCGGUAAUACGU